ACCCACGCACACUCGCGCACGUCCCGCACGGAAGAUGCGGCCUGCCUCUCCCCCACCGCAUCCACGCCCUGCCCUUCCCUCUGACGGGCGCUCCCCUGCAACAUCGCCUGCUCCCCGUCUCACCGAACGCCGAGACUAGGCGACAGGCAGUGAUGCUGCUACUGGUGCAUCACCGCCAUCAUCGUCUCCGCCACCGCCAAGGCGGCCACAGCCGCAGCGACAAACGAAGCAGAGCGAUGCGACAAGGGGAGGGGGAGAGGGGGGAGGGCGGAACCGGCGGCAGCAGCGGUACUAGAUAGCCUGCCGGCCAUCGUCGCACGCAACGCUGCUGUAAGGGGAAGACGACGAGGAUGGCGCCUUCUCCGACGCUCUGUGGGACUACCGGCAGUGUGAGUGUUUGUCGCGUUGAUGCUUUACAAGUCGUGCGCCGGGGGGGGGGGGGGGGCUGGAGACGGCGGCGGCCGUGGCAACGGGGGCCCACAAAGGCGCCAGCAGUGGCGGUGGCGGUGGGGGGAGGGGAGAGGCAUCAGGCGCCCCUGAACGCUGGGCGUGUGUGGACGCGGCGGGCAGAGCAGGCGCGGCGCAUCUUCACUUCGCAGCCGGGGACGACAGGCAGAUGCGAAGCGGGCCGAAACGCUGGACUCGCGGCAGGCGGUAUCACUGCGACUAACAGCAGAUCAGACCAGCGCCAACGCCGCGGCCCAACCUUCGCAAGCGACAAGGGUGGCGAGGCAACCGGUGAGCCCUGUUGAGGAGUGUGCAUGCUGGGAAAUCGUCCUUCUUAGCGUCACCUUCCUGUUGCGCUACGUCUUCCUCCUGCCCGGUGCCCUCUUCCAGCCUCAGCCCCUGCCCGCCAGCUCCGCCGCAGCUGUUCAGCGCAUCGAGAGCCGCACGAUGCUAGAGUAGAGCAAGGGCAGGGGAGACGGCGAGCAGCGCCCGCAUAUCGACAUCAACGUCACGCGGUGCGCGCACGGUGAUAUCUUGUCGCUUGCGUUGUUUCUCUCUUCCCUCGCCUCACCACUCGUGCGAGCUUCCAUUCUCGUCUCGCUCGCAGGUCGUCUCGGUCCUCUUCGCCCUCCGCCCCGCCACCCACGCCGAGGGCACUGCAUUCUUUUCGUUGCCUCCCUCGCUGGUCUCCGCCGGCUGCACCACCGCGGUUGCCGGCGCAGGCCUUCUUCUUCUGCUUCUUCAGGGGGCGCUCUCUCCUUUCGCCACACCUAC
rnacentral:misc_RNA from 1 species